UAUCUCUGUAGAGUCUGCAUAUCAAUAAGCGGAGGAAAAGAAACUAACAAGGAUUCCCUUAGUAACGGCGAGUGAAGCGGGAAGAGCUCAAAUUUGAAAUCUUCAAGGUUCUACCUUGACGAAUUGUAGUUUAAAGAAGUGUUUUCUGUUAGAUGAGUAGCAAAAGUUCCUUGGAAUGGGACAUCAUAGAGGGUGAGAAUCCCGUAUUUGGUUAUUCAUUCUAGCUUUGUGAUACACUUUCAAAGAGUCGGACUGUUUGGGAAUGCAGUCCAAAAUGGGUGGUAAAUUUCAUCUAAAGCUAAAUAUUGGCGAGAGACCGAUAGCGAACAAGUACCGUGAGGGAAAGAUGAAAAGAACUUUGAAAAGAGAGUUAAACAGUACGUGAAAUUGUCAGAAGGGAAGCGUUUGACACCAGUGUUGUUUUUCCGAAAAUCAAUUACGAAUGGCUUGAUUUUGUGUUGUAUUGACCCUAUCAGCUUUCUUCACUUUUUUCGAGUCUUUCUUAAUGCACUUUUCGGUUAACAAGUCAACAUCAAUUUCUUUUGUUGUAAAAGAGUAUUCGGAAGGUGGCUUUCUUUUCGGAGAAAGUGUUUAUAGCCCUAUACUUCUACAAUCGGAGAGAUUGAGGUCUGCAGCGUAGAUCCUUCGGGGUUAGAUACACUUGUGCUAAGUUGUAGCUUUUCAUAGACAACUUGUUGACUAUGUUUAGUCAUGCGGCUUACUCGCUUGUGCUAUUUUACCUACGCUUAGGAUGUUGACUGAUAUGUAGUCGUA
rnacentral:rRNA from 1 species